rnacentral:rRNA from 1 species
GGGACCCGUCUUGAAACACGGACCAAGGAGUCUAGCAUGUGCGCGAGUCAUUGGGAUAUUGACUAAACCUAAAGGCGCAAUGAAAGUGAAGGUCCGCCUUGCGCGGACCGAGGGAGGAUGGGCGGUCCCGAGGGACCGCCUCGCACUCCCGGGGCGUCUCGUUCUCAUCGCGAGAAGAGGCGCACCCAGAGCGUACACGCUGGGACCCGAAAGAUGGUGAACUAUGCCUGGUCAGGACGAAGUCAGGGGAAACCCUGAUGGAGGUCCGUAGCGAUUCUGACGUGCAAAUCGAUCGUCGGAACUGGGUAUAGGGGCGAAAGACUAAUCGAACCAUCUAGUAGCUGGUUCCCUCCGAAGUUUCCCUCAGGAUAGCUGGCGCUCGCUUCUCGCGAGUCUCAUUCGGUAAAGCGAAUGAUUAGAGGCAUUGGGGUCGAAACGGCCUCAACCUAUUCUCAAACUUUAAAUGGGUGAGAUCUCCGGCUUGCUUGAACUGUGAAGCCGCGAGAUAUCGGAUCAGAGUGCCAAGUGGGCCACUUUUGGUAAGCAGAACUGGCGCUGUGGGAUGAACCAAACGCCGAGUUAAAGCGCCUAAAUCGACGCUUAUGGGAUACCAUGAAAGGCGUUGGUAACUUAAGACAGCAGGACGGUGGCCAUGGAAGUCGGAAUCCGCUAAGGAGUGUGUAAA